UAUUGUGUCUACUUCCCUUUUUAGGUCUUG
rnacentral:piRNA from 1 species